AGGAAACUCUGAAAUUUUAGAGUUAUUAAUUUUUAAUUGUUAUUUGUAUCAGAAUUAUAAAAAAAUACAUUGUUAGAUGAUGAUAAAUAUACUCAUUAAGUCAUCCAGUUCUGUAUUGUACAGUUUCAGAUUUACAGAAUUUUUCAAAAACAUUAAAAUAAUCAAUUAUUUAAUUUUGAAUUUUGCCAAAAGUAAUUUUUAGCAACAUUAAUAGUAUUGAAGACUUUAAUAUUGAGUUAUGAGUUAGAAAGGGGGACAGAAAAUAACUCUAGUAUUACAACCAUCUAAUUAUCUAUUGUGCACUCCCUAACAAAAUCAUCCCAUAAGUCCUAUCUUAUACACAAAAGACAGGAUCUUUUCGAAUGAAAUCAUAAGAUCUUCUAAUACAAGAAAAUGUAAUCCUAAAGAAUCAAAUCUUAGUUGUUAAAGAGCCAUACAUUCAUGCAGUAUGUGGAGAGAAGUUUCAUUUUCUCCCUGAUAUCAUCUACAGUUAGGAUUAUCGACAAUCCCAAUAAAGUGGACAUAUUUUCUAAGAUGACAAUUCCCUAUAAGGAACAUUGUAACAAUGCUUACUUGAAUUUUAUUCAGUAUAAGCAAUCCUCAGUGGAGAAGGAUUUUAAAAUAAGAAUUUUUAAUCUUACUACUAAUAGC
rnacentral:lncRNA from 1 species